rnacentral:tRNA from 2 species
UGCCCCAUGGCUGAGUUGGUUACAGCGUCCGACUGUUACCUCAAGCACAUCGGAAGGUCGUGAGUUCGAGCCUCACUGGGGCAG